rnacentral:rRNA from 1 species
UACGUAGGGGGCAAGCGUUGUCCGGAAUCAUUGGGCGUAAAGCGCGUGUAGGCGGCUCGAUAAGUCUGCUGUGAAAGUCCAGGGCUCAACCCUGGGAUGCCGGUGGAUACUGUCGAGCUCGAGUCCGGAAGAGGCGAGUGGAAUUCCUGGUGUAGCGGUGAAAUGCGUAGAUAUCAGGAGGAACACCGGUGGUGUAGACGGCUCUCUGGACCGUAACUGACGCUGAGACACGAAAGCGUGGGUAGCAAACAGG